GAGAGCAGUGGACAGGAGAGCGACCUGUCAGCUGUGCCUGUGAUAUCACCAUACCUGUUUACCUCACAAAGCCUCCCGAGUUUCAAGUGAUGUGCAGCCAUCCACUGAGAGAUAACAGCCAGACAAGCCGAUAUCCGUGCCUCCACCUGGGUUUCAGAUCUGGGAAAAGACAGAAUCUGAUGAGUGUCAUCUGCGUAGCUGUGGUAGGAGAAACCAUGAGAGUGAAUGACAGAGCCAAGUGAGUUGGUGUACAGAGAAAAGAGGAGGGAGCCGAGGACGGAGCCCUGAAGAACCCUAGUGCAACUGCAGAAAACUGUGCAGUGUGGAUGGAACCAUUUCAAAACACAUGCCAUCAUACACUGGUGAGCGCUCUGCUUCAAAGACUUGCUCACUGCUGCUAUUAAUAACUCAUGCGCACUUGCAGGAGCAUUGUGGGUGUAAUGGGGGUAGGGGACCGAAAGUUUAUUUUUCUUUUCCUGCAUCAACAAUAAUAACAAAUUGUUGCCAACAAUUUAACCCAAAUAAAGACAGAGCAACUUGG